rnacentral:rRNA from 1 species
AGGACGAACGCUGGCGGCGUGCUUAACACAUGCAAGUCGAGCGGAAAGGCCCUUCGGGGUACUCGAGCGGCGAACGGGUGAGUAACACGUGAGUAAUCUGCCCCCUAGCUCUGGGAUAGCUCCGGGAAACCGGGAUUAAUACCGGAUACGACCACCUUAGACAUCUUUUUGUGGUGGAAAGAAUUUCGGCUAGGGAUGAGCUCGCGGCCUAUCAGCUUGUUGGUGGGGUAACGCCUACCAAGGCGACGACGGGUAGCCC